ensembl:snoRNA Y47D3B.25 ncRNA
GGGUGAGCACACAGGCUUUUGGGGUGGAUUAGUGGAUUUGAACAGAAUUUCAUAGCAAAAAAAAAAGUCAGAUCAAAUCUAGGUGUACAUAAAUAUAAUCUCAAGUGGUUGGCUGGCGACCAGAUGUAUCUGAAUGUAUCGGGUGGGUGCCGAAGAACACAUAAACAUAAAACGAAUGGGUUCUUCUAAUCUCUUUUCUCGCACCGACGGUGGUGUCCUACUCCCCUUCAGAUUUUUAUGGCUUU